rnacentral:rRNA from 1 species
GGAGGGUACCCUGGGAAUAAACCACGGGCUAAUUACGGCCCACCAGCCCCGGUAAGAGGUAGGGGGCGAGCGUUCCCCGGAUUCACUGGGCGUAAAGGGCGCGUAGGCGGUUGGCAAGUCGCCUGUGAAAGCCCCGGGCUCAACUGGGGGAGGUCGGGCGAAACUGCUAGGCUGGAGGACGGCAGAGGAAAAAGUGGAACGACCGGAGUAGCGGUGAAAUGCGUAGAUACCGGUCGGUAUCCCGAUGGCGAAGGCAACCUUCUGGGUCGUUCCUGACGCUGAGGCGCGAAAGCGUGGGGAGCAAACCGGAUUAGAUACCCGGGUAGUCCACGCCCUAAACGAUGUGGGCUAGGUGUCGGGCGAGCAGUCGCUUGGUGCCGCAGCUAACGCGUUAAGCCCACCGCCUGGGUAGUACGGCCGCAAGGCUAAAACUCAAGGGAAUUGACGGGGCCCCGCACAAGCGGUGGAGCAUGUGGAUUAAUUCGAUACUGACCGAAGAACCUCACCCAGGUUUGACAUACAGUCGCCGCACUCAGAGAUGGGUGUUCUCGAGCAAUCGAGCGUCUGUACCGCUGUUGCAUGGCUGUCGUCAGCUCGUGUCGUGAGAUGUUGGGUUAAGUCCCGCAACGAGCGCAACCCGCGUUCCAUGUUGCCAUCGGGUAAAGCCGGGAACUCUUGGAAGACUGCUCGGGUAACCGAGAGGAAGGAGCGGAUGACGUCAAGUCGGCAUGGCGCCUACGCCUGGGGCUUCACACAUGCUACAAUGGGCGCAACAAAGGGUACCGAUACCGCGAGGUGGAGGCAAUCCCAAAAAUACGCUCUUAAUUCGGAUUGCAGUCUGCAACUCGACUGCAUGAAGCCGGAAUCGCUAGUAACUGCAGAUCAGCUAUGCUGCGGUGAAUACGUUCCCGGGCCUUGCACUCACCGCCCGUCAAG